UACAGAGGGGGCAAGCGUUAUUCGGAAUUAUUGGGCGUAAAGGGCGCGUAGGCGGCCGUUCAAGUGGCGGGUGAAAUCCCUCGGCUUAACCGAGGAACUGCCUGCCAGACUGGAUGGCUUGAGACCGGGAGAGGUGAGUGGAAUUCCCAGUGUAGCGGUGAAAUGCGUAGAUAUUGGGAGGAACACCAGUGGCGAAGGCGGCUCACUGGACCGGAACUGACGCUGAGGCGCGAAAGCGUGGGGAGCAAAC
rnacentral:rRNA from 1 species